CAAAAAUCUCCCCUGUGCCUGUGAGGUUUGCACCGAUUGAUAUUUUAAGACUCAUUGUUCACUCACACCAGCUAAGUGCCUGCAUGGACACUAACUACUGAAAUGUCUUUUGCAUUGCUGCUCACAGGACAGAGAGUGUCAAAGCUUUAUCAAGGGAAGGCAAAAGCACAUUGCUGCCUUUCAUCUGCUGCUGUCAUAUUAUGGUUCUUUUUGCUGUUGCAGAUGACCUGCGAUCACAAUUGUCUUAUCGCCAAACUGGAUGCAAAGUGUCCCGGCUCCGUUCAUGACUCUCGGAUGUUCCGGGAGUCUAGGCUCUGCCGAACAUUGGAGCAGGGUGUGGCUCUUGCACUAUGCACAUUGUGUUUUGAUGUUCAUCAGACUCCCUGUGACACUGACCAUGAUAUCUCCCUUCAUUUACAGGGCUUCUCCACGGAGUGCUGGUUGGGGACCGAGGCUAUCCCUGCCUGCACUUCCUCAUGACCCCCUAUCCUGACCCUGGUGCAGGGCCACAAACACAAUUCAAUGUGGCUCUCUUCCACACCAGGGUCAGGAUACAGAUGACCUUCGGCAUCCUGAAGGCUCCCCCCCGAUGUCGUGGAUCCCAUCACUUUGGACCAUCCCACUGGCAGGGCCGUGCAGCAGGCUAUAACAGAACAAUCUUUUACAUGUGUAAUUUGCAAUUCUGAGUGGAUUAUUAACAGUUUGGCC